GUGCACCAGGCGCGAAACUUCACAAUGUGCGAAGCACGAUGAGGGAAUCCCAAGUGCUUGCACGUAAGUGUAAGCUGUUUCUCUGUCUAAAACGCAGAGAGAGUAAGGGCUGGGUAAGACGGGUGCCAGCCGCCGCGGUAAUACCUGCAGCUCGAGUGGUGACCGUUAUUAUUGGGCCUAAAACGUCCGUAGCCGGUUUAAUAAAUGCCUGGGUAAAUCGGACCGCUUAACGGUUCGAAUUCCGGGUAGACUGUUAAACUUGAGACCGGGAGAAGUUAGAGGUACUCCUGGGGUAGAGGUGAAAUUCUGUAAUCCUAGGGGGACCACCAGUGGCGAAGGCGUCUAACUAGAACGGGUCUGACGGUGAGGGACGAAGCCCUGGGGCGCAAAACGGGA
rnacentral:rRNA from 1 species